GCGGCACCAAGAAAGGGAAGCUGUUUCAAGAGAUAGGAAUUGUCAGAAAAAGCCGGAGAAGGUGGUGUUAAAGGAAAACAUUGAGAAUGGGGAGUGAAGACGAGGGUUUUUCGUAGCAGAAGAUGGGUCUUCAAAAGCCAGGAGGCAGAGGAGAGGAAGGCUGUCGGUGAGAUAAAGCUGGAGAUUUCUGCUACGUGCAGCACAUACUGCUAAUCCUCUCUCAUCUCCGGGAAGUUUUCAAAAACCUGCUUCUGUAACUAGCGGACAGGUCUCCUGGAUCCAAGGUCACCUGCUGGGGAGAAAGAGAAGCCUUUGGAUAAACAUCACAAGUUUUCCUGGAACAUCGAUUUUAUUUAAGAGUUUUUUGGAAAGAAGGGAAUAAGAUUUUUAUCUUUGUAAGGUUUUUACAAAUGUUUUCAAAAGUGUAACAUGUAUAUAUGCUCAUUUUAGAAAAUUUGAUCAGUAUAAAAUAUUAAAGAAGAAAGUAAAAACUCA